UUCUUGCUGAGAGCCGCAGGCAUAACCAGCAGCAACAGCCAGUAAUUAAUCAUGGCUCUGGAGAUGGGCGCACAUAUUCAAAGGCAUUUUCAACCCACUGAAACACGUUAUGGGUUUCAAAUUCUGCCACGGAGCAGAAUCUCUGGAAUGAAGCUUCCGUUCUUUCAGACUCUGAUGUACCUACAGAGUGUGACCAAGGUGGCUCCUGGUGAGUCACCGGAGGUGGCCACACGCCUUGUGAGGAGCCCAGCACAGGCCAGCAUCUCUGGAGCACAGUGGCACAGCAGAUGGCAGAGAUAAGCAUGAGACACUGUGCAAAGCACCAGAAUCAAUACAAGCCAACCUCCCUGUACAACCUCACUACCAAAUUCUCUAGGAAGGAUGUGUGGUACUGGAAGUUGGAGUGACAAAACACGGAGGGAUUAGAACUAAUGAUGGCAGGUGAAGGAGAAGACAAGAAGGUU